GAGAGACAGAUAGAGAGACAGAGAGAGAGAGACAGAGAGAAGGACUCUCACCAGUCACUCUGUCGGAUUAGCAUCUCUGCAAUUGAGGAAUACUGUCAGUCAGGGGGGUGUCAUAAAGUACUGAUCUAGGAUCAGCCCCCUCCCCCAUGUCUGUCCAUAUAAAUCAACCAUUGUGAUGUAAAAGGUAAAAGUGAUUCUAUAGCAAACACCUCCUUUCAGACCUGCCUUUUAGAAGACAACACUCCCUCCUUUCAGACCUGCCUUUUAGAAGACAACACUCCCUCCUUUCAGACCUGCCUUUUAGAAUAAAAUAAAAAACACUCCCUUUUUAUACCAGUCCUGUGGCUCUUCUAUGGUCCUCCUGUGUAACAUGUCUUCUAUGGUCCUCCUGUGUAACAGGUCUUAAGUACCUCCUUUAUGUAGUGUUAUACUGUAUGAAGCU